rnacentral:rRNA from 1 species
CCAGCGACGCCGCGUGAGGGAAGAAGGUUCUCGGAUUGUAAACCUCUGUUCUUGGUGAAGAGAAGAAGACGGUAGCCAAGGAGGAAGCCCCGGCUAACUACGUGCCAGCAGCCGCGGUAAUAAUAAAAGCCGUGGUAA